rnacentral:rRNA from 1 species
CAGCAGCCGCGGUAAAACGGAGGGGGCUAGCGUUGUUCGGAAUUACUGGGCGUAAAGCGCACGUAGGCGGCUUUGUAAGUUAGAGGUGAAAGCCUGGGGCUCAACUCCAGAAUUGCCUUUAAGACUGCAUCGCUUGAACGUCGGAGAGGUGAGUGGAAUUCCGAGUGUAGAGGUGAAAUUCGUAGAUAUUCGGAAGAACACCAGUGGCGAAGGCGGCUUACUGGCUCAUUCUAGACGCUGAGGUGCGAAAGCGUGGGGAGCAAACAGGAUUAGAUACCCCUGUAGUCCCUGUCUCUUAUAC